rnacentral:misc_RNA from 1 species
GUUACCUGUCAAACAGCAGCAAUAACAACAACAACAAUGUCUUAAUACAAAACUAGUUGGGGUUGGCUGUAUGGAACCUUUUUUGCCAUUCAGCUCUUAGAUACCAAAUCUACAUCGAUAUCCAAAACUUGUAAACCUAUCACUAUAAAACUGUAAUUUCUUCAUUUUGAGCUCUAAUGAAGUACUGCAAUUUCCUUUUCAAAAG